GAUGAACGCUGACAGCAUGCUUAACACAUCAGCGAUUGAUUGGUGGCGGACGGGUGAGUAACGCGUAAAGAACUUGCCUCACACCUAGGUACAACAUGUGGAAACGAAUGCUAAUACCUAAUUCUGUGGGAGAUCUUGGCGUCACAUUAUCUAGUUGGAGAGGUAACGGCUCACCAAGGCGAUGAUGGGUAGCCGGACUGAGAGGGUGAUCGGCCACAAGGGGACUCGGGCACGAGCAGUACUCAACCGGGCGGCAGCGGUGGAGAAUAGUGGACGAAGGGCCAAAGACUGAUCCAGGAAUUCUGUGUGCAAAAUGAAGUUUUAGGGAUGUAAAGAGCUUUCAGUAGGGAAGUGGUACCAACAGAAGAAGUGACGGCUAAAUACGUGCCAGCAGCCGCGGUAAUAC
rnacentral:rRNA from 1 species